AAAAAAUGUAACUAAAUUCUCAAUACUGGAUGUGCCAUCACUUCAACCUGAACUAUGCAUUGUGAAUAACCAAGUAUUUGUCUUCAUUACUUGACAAAUUUCACCAAAGAUGUUGAUCAUAAUAGAUGUAUUAGUGCUUAUUUAUACAAUAUAUUAAAAAAAAGUAUUUGGACCACACCGAUGAUGUAAGGAAAAUGUGAUAUUUUGAGAACAAAGUGAUGAUACUGAGUAGAAAAGUGAAAAAAAAAAUGUUAUGUGUUAAAAUCUAAAUAUCAGAUGGAAAAUUCCUCUGCUUAACCAAACAGUCUGAGCCAAGCACCUGCUGUUGAAAAAACUUCAUAGAUACUUAUUUUAACAUUAUUACUUCCUCUCAGAAUUGCUGACUUUUCUCCCAUCAGUGAGGUCAUCAUACCCAGUCA